UGUGUCAGUUUAGAAUUUUUAAUUCUGCAACAUACGGUAUGUUCUAUUUCGAAAACAACAUCAGUGAUGAUCGAGUUCAUUUUUGUCGCGUCGGGUUGCGUUUGGGUUUCUGUUUUCCGGUCAUGGACUACAGCCGAAAAUUCGGGUUCUGAUUUCCGUUCCGGCUAUUCGAAAAUAUUUAAAUUCGUUUAAAGUUUCAUAGGCGUGCGGGUUCUACGACCGGUGUCUGGUAGAUUAGAGUUUAUCGCGUGGACCGUAGACGAUAUACAAUUAUUUGCAGAGCGAUUAGUUCGUCACACGACGAGCCGAUGGCGAUCAUAACUUUGUGUUUGUCGAGAGAAAAUCGUUUCCUAAAACGAAAAAAAAACGUUUUCGCCGAAUUCAAUUCUCCCUUCGAAUCGGAAUAGAAAAACGUCGCAGCGUCGUUAUGCAUAAUAUAUAGGAUCGCGUGUUUAAAUAAUACAACGGGGGGGG